GGCAAAUUGCCCGAGUGGUUAAGGGAGCCGGUUGUAACCCGGAUGACAGGAGUUCGAAUCUUCUAUUUGCCU
rnacentral:tRNA from 1 species